CAGGGUGUAGCUAAAUAGAAAAGCGUCUCCCUUACACCGAGAAAGCACCCGUGCAAAUCGAGUCACCCUGA
rnacentral:tRNA from 1 species